GAAGCUGACCAGACAGUCGCCGCUUCGUCGUCGUCCUUUCGGGGAGACGGGCGGAGGGGAGGAAAGUCCGGGCUCCAUAGGGCAGGGUGCCAGGUAACGCCUGGGGGGGGAAACCCACGACCAGUGCAACAGAGAGCAGACCGCCGAUGGCCCACGUAAGUGGGAUCAGGUAAGGGUGAAAGGGUGCGGUAAGAGCGCACCGCGCGGCUGGUAACAGUCCGUGGCACGGUAAACUCCACCCGGAGCAAGGCCAAAUAGGGGUUCAUAAGGUACGGCCCGUACUGAACCCGGGUAGGCUGCUUGAGCCAGUGAGCGAUUGCUGGCCUAGAUGAAUGACUGUCCACGACAGAAC
rnacentral:RNase_P_RNA from 2 species